rnacentral:lncRNA from 1 species
CCACAUUCUGCCCUGAUGGAGCUGGGCUUGGUGCCCAGUAAAAGUACAGAGGAUCCUUGUGCCAUGACUGUUUGGCCAGCCCUAGUGCCAGGGGGCUGUCUGGCAGUGCUCAUAGUUCUCUGGAGUGCAGCCAGGAUCUGCCAGGCAGUCUGACUCCAUCCAGAAGCUUCUCAACCAGAUGAAGAAGUGAUGUCUGUGAUCUGCUUUGGGGAGGGACUUCUCAAGUAACUGUGACUUAAAAUAUACCCUGCCUGACUCAGAGGGGCACUGUCAUCUUGGAAUUCAAAGUAAAUCAACAGUCUGUCACCUAAAUGGAACAGAAACUAUCAGCAUUUUGGUGAUGGAGCAGGUUAAUGCAUUUGACCCUAGGUCAGUCCUCACUCUCUGGAAUUCUGAAGCUGUAUUGGAUUCUGGAAGGCAUGCUGGGAUGCAUCUUGCGGUUUCCAAGACACCUCCACUGUUUUGAACAUACAGGUGCCAACAUAUAUUCAAACAAGAAUCAUCUGAAAUAAGGAUUCGGAAGAAGCACAAUUUUGUGUAAACAUAUCUGAAAUUUAAGAACCUUUAAAUAAUGGGUCAUGUAUAUGGUCUCUGUCUACUCAUUAUAGACUUAAUG